ensembl:lncRNA
CUGAGACACCCAACCUGGCUGGAUACCAUAGCAACAUAACCACCUCGUCUGGUCCUUAUUCAUCUGGUUCCACAGAUGGACUGUUUGAACCCAGCUGCUUGAUGCAUGUUCGACAAUGGUAGCAGAGGAGGAGAAGGAGAUAUUGGCGGGUCGGAGACGGUUGACAUCAUGUCGGACGAGAUCGUUGAGGGGAUCGUUGGGUGGUGAGACCUCCUAGGUUCCGCAGCGAGGAGCUCACUACUUUGUGUAAGGUGCUGCAAGGAAGUCUGGAGGCUGACCACAGGUUUCAGGCUACACACUCCAGAUGUCACACCAUAGGGGUGGCAGGGUAGCCUAGUGGUUAGAGUGUUGGACUAGUAACCAAAAGGUUGCAAAUUCAAAUCCCCAAGCUGACAAGGUACAAAUCUGUCAUUCUGCCCCUGAACAGGCAGUUAACCCACUGUUCAAUGACAUCAUUGAAAAUAAGAGUUUGUUCUUAACUGACUUGCCUAGUAAAAUAAAAAGGAAC